GUGCUUGCUCCCACAGCACACAUACUAAACUUGGAACAAUACACAGAUUAGCACCGCCCUGCGCAAGGAUGACGUGCAAAUUCGUGAAGCAUUCCAUAUUAAA
rnacentral:snRNA from 1 species